AAAAAUUCUUGCCCUUUUGGCUAAGAUCAAGGGUAGUAUCUGUUCUUAUCAGUUUAAUAUCUGAUAUGUUCUCUAUCUGAGGACAAUAUAUUAAAUAGAUUUUUGAAAAAAGGAGCUUGCUUCAAAAAUUAUAUUGAGGAGCUUGCUUCAAAAAUUAUAUUGAAGCAGC
rnacentral:snRNA from 1 species